rnacentral:lncRNA from 12 species
AUGGAUAUUAUCCCUGAUACCGCCACUGGGGUCUUCAUGAGUGGAAGAACAUCCCAGAACUGGCCAUUGAAGUUUAAUAAUAAAAGAAUGAUUCGUGAUAGUCAUCGUAAAACUGUCAGAAGUGAUUUAACAUGGCCCUUUAAAAAAUGCCUUGGAAGACGUGUCCACCAGCUGCUAGAUCAGAUACACGUUUUUCUUCAUCAGCUGAAGCACCAACAUCCUGGUCAAGCAUGGAUCGGGUAAGCAGAAAUGGUCCCUACAUGCAUUAUUUUUAAGUUUAUGAAGAACCCUCCAUGUUUUGACAAAUAAUCUGCAGAUAAUUUCUACAAGGGAAAAGGAGAACAAUAUUGAUAGUAUCCUAAUAAGCAAUAUUUUCAGAGCAACUAAAUGAUCUUGUUGUACCUUGACACAUAAGGUAGGUUCAGAGAACCCCAACUUCUAGGGGAACCCCCUAGAUGAGGCCCCUGCUCUCACUAAAUUUCAACCUAGUGGGGAAGAUAAGCAAUCAUGAUGAAUGUCGUACAGUCUCCGGCAGGGCUGUGGGGAAGCACACAAGAGGGGCACUCCACCCAGCCUCGUUGGGGCUUCCCAGGGAAAGUUAAAUCUAAGCUGAGACCUGAAGGCCAAGUAGAAAGAAAUCAGGCCAGUUGAGCCAAAUGUUUUCCAGACAGAAGAAACAACAUGUAUAAUUACCUAGAGGUUAGAAAUUCCAAGGAAGGUUGGGAUGAGGAGGAAAAAUGAGACUAGGAGGCAGGUUGAAAAGCCGGAUGCCAUGCACAUGUGAACACAUACUUGCCAUCCUCCCAGAGCUUGCCUGGAGGAGAGGACACCUCUGCAAUGUGGCCACAUGGCUGUGUCCCUUGGCUUUGAUCUGAUACACAAUCUUUCCUGUAGAGAUAAGAUUGCGUGGAUAAAGUUGACUUUGAGAAGACCUGUUUCAGGGAUAUAACUUUUCUUUGGUGCCUCUCCCCUACCCUCUUCAAGUCUAUGUCUUCGAAGCUGAUAUUACAGCAGAAAUAAUUACCAUUCAUGAAAUACUUCAUAUGUGCCUCGCACUGUCUCAAGUGCCCAACAGGGAUUAUUUAAUCAAUUCUCAAAACUAACCCUAACUAACCCUAAGAAGUAUAAUUGUUAUCCCUAUUUUACAAAUAAGGAGAUUUGUGAUUCCAUACAGUAGCUGGCUAACUUUCCCAAGGUCGCCGUACUAAGUGGCAGAGUUGAUAGUAGGACCCAGUUAUAUCUAAAUCCAAUGUUCACCUUCCUAACCAUCCUGGUACCCAACCCCAAGGUUCUUAGUUUGUAUGACAUUCCCUACAGAGCCUUGUUCUCAAGUAUCUAACAACUAAUAAAUUAAGAGGUUAAGAGAGAGACA